AGCCUCAUUGACCGGAAGGGAUUCCUUCCGGUUGAUGAGGUUUAGCUUCCUCAUUGACCGGAGGAGAGUCCUUCCGGUUGAUGAGGAGGCUAAGCCUCAUUGACCGGAAGGGAUUCCUUCCGGUUGAUGAGGUU
rnacentral:miRNA from 1 species